rnacentral:rRNA from 1 species
GACGAACCGUGCGAACGUUGUUCGGAAUCACUGGGCUUAAAGGGCGCGUAGGCGGUUUGCCAAGUCAGGGGUGAAAUCCUGCAGCUCAACUGUAGAAGUGCCUUUGAUACUGGCGAACUCGAGGGAGGUAGGGGUGGGUGGAACUUAUGGUGGAGCGGUGAAAUGCGUUGAUAUCAUAAGGAACGCCGGUGGCGAAAGCGACCCACUGGAUCUCUUCUGACGCUGAGGCGCGAAAGCUAGGGGAGCAAACGGGAUUAGAUACCC